rnacentral:rRNA from 1 species
GUGGCGGACGGGUGAGUAACGCGUGAGAAUCUGCCUUGGGGUCGGGGACAACCACUGGAAACGGUGGCUAAUACCGGAUAAGCCUUUGGGUAAAGNAUUAUUGCCCCAAGAGGAGCUCGCGUCUGAUUAGCUAGUUGGUGAGGUAAAAGCUCACCAAGGCAGCGAUCAGUAGCUGGUCUGAGAGGACGAUCAGCCACACUGGGACUGAGACACGGCCCAGACUCCUACGGGAGGCAGCAGUGGGGAAUUUUCCGCAAUGGGCGAAAGCCUGACGGAGCAAGACCGCGUGAGGGAGGAAGGCUCUUGGGUUGUAAACCUCUUUUCUCAGGGAAGAAGCUCUGACGGUACCUGAGGAAUCAGCCUCGGCUAACUCCGUGCCAGCAGCCGCGGUAAUACGGAGGAGGCAAGCGUUAUCCGGAAUUAUUGGGCGUAAAGCGUCCGCAGGUGGCGAUUCAAGUCUGCUGUCAAAGCACGGGGCUUAACUCCGUUAAGGCAGUGGAAACUGAAUAGCUAGAGUGCCGUAGGGGUAGAGGGAAUUCCCGGUGUAGCGGUGAAAUGCGUAGAGAUCGGGAAGAACAUCGGUGGCGAAAGCGCUCUACUGGACGGCAACUGACACUCAGGGACGAAAGCUAGGGGAGCGACUGGGAUUAGAUACCCCAGUAGUCCUAGCUGCAAACGAUGGAUACUAGGUGUAGCUUGUAUCGACCCGAGCUGUGCC